CUUGUGGUGUAGACUUGUGGUGCCUGUGUAUCGCUAGUAAAAAGAAAAGCGUACAUCCAAUAAAGUGAAUCGUAUCGUGUUCUGUUGGGUUCCCAAAGGAAAAGGAAAAGCAUCAGGUCAGGUCAGGUCAGGUCAGGUCAGGGAAUUAGCGUGUAACCGACUUCUCCUUCCAUCCUCUCCGGAGUUGUGUGGAAAGAAAUCAAAUAAAAUAAAAUCAUAGUUCAGCUCAAGUGAGGAUUGAUUGAUUGAUUGAUCGAAUUAGAAUUAGGGUUUGUGGUGAAGAAAUGCAGAUAGAGGUAUGUUCAUGGGUGUUACAAUGAUUAUGCGCUCCCAUUCUUCAUUUUCUUCUUCUUCUUCCCCUUUGUGCAACAACGAUAAAAUGUGUUCCGUCGAAUGCCGAUUCCGAUCGGCGUUCGAUUCAUAUUCCGUCGCUUGUGAGGCCUUCUCUGAACCUCAGCCUUCCCCUCUUUGAUACACUCUCUUCUCUCCCUCUCCAUCUCGGCGCCGUCGCCAUGGCCACUUUCCACGUUGUUGAGAAAGAUCCAACCUCCAGAUACGCGCGGUACGAUGAAUUGUUGGGGAAAGGAGCCUUCAAGACUGUAUUCAAAGCGUUUGACGAAGUAGACGGAAUCGAAGUUGCGUGGAACAGGAUAGGCGUUGAGGACGUUGUGCAGACGCCGCAGCAGCUGGGAAAAUUGUACUCGGAGGUUCACCUGCUCAAGUCCUUGAAACACGACAAUGUCAUCAAGUUGUAUAAUUCUUGGGUCGAUGAUACCGCCGGCACCAUCAACAUGAUCACAGAAUUGUUCACCUCCGGAAGUUUGAGGCAGUACCGGAAAAAGCAUAAGAAUGUGGAUAUGAAAGCCAUCAAGAACUGGGCACGGCAGAUUCUUCGCGGCUUGUGCUUUUUGCACAGUCAAAGUCCUCCUAUUGUUCAUAGGGACCUGAAAUGCGAUAAUAUUUUUGUCAAUGGAAAUAGUGGACUGGUUAAGAUUGGAGAUCUUGGAUUGGCAAUUGUCAUGCAGCAGCCUACUGCUCGGAGUGUCAUCGGUACACCGGAGUUCAUGGCCCCAGAGCUUUAUGAGGAGGAAUACAAUGAACUUGUUGACAUAUAUUCCUUUGGCAUGUGCAUCUUAGAAAUGGUUACCUGUGAGUACCCGUACAGUGAAUGUAAAAAUCCUGCACAGAUAUAUAAGAAAGUUACCUCUGGUAUAAAGCCUGCCGCCCUUGCUAAAGUAAAUGAUCCUGAAGUGAAGCAAUUCAUAGAGAAGUGUCUAGUUCCAGCAUCUAUGAGAUUGUCUGCAUCUGAACUUCUGAAAGACCCAUUCCUUGCAACUGAAAACACAAAGGAGAUCAAUCAUGAUACGCUGCAGCUGCCUAAUCCUCACAUCAAAUUGGUGAAUCUACCAAAAUGCGAGCCUCAUCCCAUGGAGAUAGAUUCAUACUCCAGGCGUACUUCACCUGGCUCCUCCAUGGGAAGAAUUGAAGAAACUUCUCAAGUUUCAUUUUUUGAUCUUGUGAGGAUGACUGACAAUAACAAAUUGAUGCUAAGAAGGGAGAAAAAUGCUGAAAGUACAAUUUCACUUACGCUGAGAAUUCCAGAUGCUUGUGGUGGAGCAAGGAAUAUCCAUUUCCCAUUCUAUAUGGAUUCUGAUACAGCAAUUUCCAUUGCUGAGGAGAUGGUGGAACAUCUGGAACUCUCAAAUGAGGAUGUAUCUGUCAUUGCAGAGCUAAUAAACGACAUGAUUGCUAAGCUUGUCCCCAACUCGAAACCCUUAUGUGAGAAACUCUCAUCCGAAACAAAUCUAUUGUACAGGCCUUCUUCGGAAGUUCAGAAUGGUGAACAAUUCAAUUGCCACUGGCCAUUACAAUCAAGUGAUUAUGAUAUGAAGGCAAUGUAUAAGGAUCUAGUUCAUUCACGGCCUGUGGAUGGGGAUGAUCAGGAGAAACAAGAAUCUGUUAUGUCAGAUAUAUCAGCAGCGUGUGGGAUUACAAUUGCCUCAGAUUCUAAAGUUGUAGAGCCCGAUAUUUUUAUUUUUGAUGAGUUCUGGGAGGGGUUCUUCAAUUCCACUUCAGAUAUCAGGUUUUGUGGGCAAGAGGAUGGACACAAGAAUCAAUCAGAGAACUCCGUAGGCUCUUUAAUCAAUUCAUGUUGCUGCCCAUUCAAAAACUUUGACAUGUCAAGUAUAUGUUCUCUUACUCUAGCUGACAAAGAUCCUUCAGAAGGGCUGCGGUUGGAUAUUGAAGCAAUAGAUACAUACUUUGACCGACGCUUUCUUGAGCUUGAGAUGAUGAGGCAGGAAGCCAUAAAAAGUGCAAAGAGGAGGAGACAUUACGAGGAAGAACAUACCUGUUAUGUGAUGCAUUAGAAUGAUUUCCUUUGUAUUUUUUUUUCUAAAUAUUUUUUUUUUGUAUUCGUUUAAAUCAUUUGAUUUGAUUUCUGACAGCCUUGCUUUUCUCGUUUUUCUUGACGGAAUAUGCUUUUGUUGGUAUGGGAUAUGGCCUGCAAUAGGCCGUGUUAUUUUAAUAGAUACUAUAUGUGAAUGUCACGUUACGAAAUAGAGCUAGUUUUUGAUUAA